rnacentral:rRNA from 1 species
AGAUCUUUUAUGAGGGAAGAAGUUUAUUGACGGUACCUCAUGAAUAAGAGGCUCCUAAUCUCGUGCCAGCAGGAGCGGUAAUACGAGAGCCUCGAGCGUUAUCCGGAAUUAUUGGGCGUAAAGGGUAUGUAGGUUGUUUUGUUAGUCUUUUGUUAAAACCACGGGCUUAACCCGUGGAUUGCGGAAGAAACGGCAGAACUUGAAAGUGCGAGAGGUGUACAGAACUCAUGGUGUAGGGGUGAAAUCCGUUGAUAUCAUGGGGAACACCAAAAGCGAAAGCAGUAUACUGGCGCAUAUUUGACACUGAAGCACGAAAGCGUGGGUAGCGAAUGGGAUUAGAUACCCCAGUAGUCCACGCCCUAAACGAUGAUCUCUCGGUUUUCGGAGUAUCGACCCUCUGAGAGCCUUAGCUAACGCGUUAAGAGAUCCGCCUGGGAAGUACGGCCGCAAGGCUAAAACUCAAAGGAAUAGACGGGGACUUGCACAAGCAGUGGAUUAUGUGGUUUAAUUCGAUGGUAAACGAAGAACCUUACCAGGGUUAGAAAUCCUCGUGAAAGCUCUAAGAAACUAGAGCCCUCGCAAGACUAGAGGACAGGUGUUGCAUGGCCGUCGUCAGUUCGUGGUUUGAAUUGUACCCUUAAGUGGGCUAACGAACGCAACCCUCGUUGUGUGUUACAAGUGUCACACGAUACUGCCCCCGCCUUAGUUUUUGAUUUAGAUAAAUCGAAAUUUGAGGCGGGGGAGGAAGGAGAGGAUGACGCCAGGUCAGCAUGACCCUUGAUACCCUGGGCUACACACAUAAUACAAUGGCCAUUACAACGCGCAGCGACGAGGCGACUCUGAGCUAAUCGUUUAAAAAUGGCCCCAGUUCGGAUUGGAGUCUGCAACUCGACUCCAUGAAGCCGGAAUUGCUAGUAAUCGCAGGUCAGCUAAACUGCGGUGAAUACGUUCUCAAGUCUUGUACUCACCGCCCGUCAAGUCAAGGGAGCCGGGAGUACCCGAAGUCUCUACAUAAGUAGGGCCUAAGGUAAAUUCGGUAACAGGGACUAAGUCGUAACAAGGCACGGCUAGCGGAAGCUGGUCGUGGAAUAAUUCAAUU